rnacentral:lncRNA from 1 species
GAAAUAAUUUAAUUUCGGAUGUAACGCGUCUUCUGAUUGGCUGACGUCGUUUUGUUUAUCAUAUCAUAGCCACAAUUUUGUCAUGUGACCAUGACGUCAUCAAAGUUUUUUCAUGAUAUACGCCGGUUUAAAAUGGAAAUUAGAAUUAAAUUAUAAGAAAUAAUUGUAAUAUUUUGUCAGUCUAUUCGAAAUAACAUAAAAAAUGUGGUGCACACUGUUAAAUAACCCGCUACGCGCGUUAUUCAGUGUGCA